AAACUUUCAACAACGGAUCUCUUGGCUCGGGCAACGAUGAAGAACGCAGCGAAAUGCGAUAAGUAAUGCGAAUUGCAGAAUCAGUGAAUCAUCGAAUCUUUGAACGCACAUUGCGCCUCUCGGCAUUCCGAGGGGCACGCCUGUUCGAGCGCCAUUA
rnacentral:rRNA from 1 species